rnacentral:rRNA from 1 species
CCUACGGGCGGCAGCAGUGGGGAAUAUUGGACAAUGGGCGAAAGCCUGAUCCAGCCAUGCCGCGUGUGUGAAGAAGGCCUUCGGGUUGUAAAGCACUUUCAGUGGGGAAGAAAGCCUUGGGGCUAAUACCCUCGAGGAAGGACAUCACCCACAGAAGAAGCACCGGCUAACUCCGUGCCAGCAGCCGCGGUAACACGGAGGGUGCGAGCGUUAAUCGGAAUUACUGGGCGUAAAGCGCGCGUAGGCGGUCUGAUAAGCCGGUUGUGAAAGCCCCGGGCUCAACCUGGGAACGGCAUCCGGAACUGUCAGGCUAGAGUGCAGGAGAGGAAGGUAGAAUUCCCGGUGUAGCGGUGAAAUGCGUAGAGAUCGGGAGGAAUACCAGUGGCGAAGGCGGCCUUCUGGACUGACACUGACGCUGAGGUGCGAAAGCGUGGGUAGCAAACAGGAUUAGAUACCCCAGUAGUC